rnacentral:rRNA from 1 species
AACCUGCCUCACACAGGGGGAUAACAGUUGGAAACGACCGCUAAUACCGCAUAAGCUGCCGGUGCCGCAUGGCACUGACGGAAAAGAUUUUAUCGGUGUGAGAUGGACCCGCGUCUGAUUAGCCAGUUGGCAGGGUAACGGUCUACCAAAGCGACGAUCAGUAGCCGGCCUGAGAGGGUGAACGGCCACAUUGGGACUGAGACACGGCCCAGACUCCUGCGGGAGGCAGCAGUGGGGAAUAUUGCACAAUGGGGGAAACCCUGAUGCAGCGACGCCGCGUGAGUGAAGAAGUAUUUCGGUAUGUAAAGCUCUAUCAGCAGGGAAGAAAAUGACGGUACCUGAUUAAGAAGCCCCGGCUAACUACGUGCCAGCAGCCGCGGUAAUACGUAGGGGGCAAGCGUUAUCCGGAUUUACUGGGUGUAAAGGGAGCGUAGACGGUGAUGCAAGUCAGAAGUGAAAGCCCGGGGCUCAACUCCGGGACUGCUUUUGAAACUGUGUGACUGGAGUGCAGGAGAGGUAAGCGGAAUUCCUGGUGUAGCGGUGAAAUGCGUAGAUAUCAGGAGGAACACCAGUGGCGAAGGCGGCUUACU